rnacentral:misc_RNA from 1 species
GAAACUUAACUUUCCGGAGUUGAAAAUUAGCAAUAGCAUUAGAUGGAAUACUCUUGGCUAUGCGUAAAAAACCCUGAAAGAGACCAGCACAACUUAUAUCAUCUGCUUUUUCUUUGGAAUUUGCUUAACAUCAUCACAAGUUUAUCAUCGUUGAAGUUUCUUUAAAAUAUUUUAUACUUGUUCUGGUAUUGAUGUGUAGCUAUUGUCUGUUUU